rnacentral:rRNA from 1 species
GGUUGAUCCUGCCAGUAGUCAUAUGCUUGUCUCAAAGAUUAAGCCAUGCAUGUCUAAGUAUAAAUAAAUUUAUAUGGUGAAACUGCGAAUGGCUCAUUAAAUCAGUUAUGAUGUACGUGAUAAAUUCUUACUACUUGGAUAACCGUGGUAAUUCUAGAGCUAAUACAUGCAAAAAAGCCUCGACUUCGGAAGGGGUGCACUUAUUAGAUUAAACCAACGCUGGGGUAAAAUCCAGAUUUCUUUGGUGAUUCAUAAUAAUUAAGCGGAUCGCAUGGCCUAGUGCCGGCGACGA